ACAUAUUCGCGUUUAUUUAAAUUUAAAUCGGUAAAAAAAUAUAAUCUCCCAUCGUUAUUUAACAGAGCUAACAAUAUUUUAAUCCUUGGAAUCCUUACAGAUGUAUAUAUAUAUAUACAUGUCAACGUCGACCUCCCCGAUGAAUUAUUCCUGCACCACAAUAAAAGAGCGUUAUCCUUCUAUCGUCUGGUGCUGGGACACGACGAUCUCACUUCGGAAAGAUUGCCUAACUGCAGCUUCACGACGAUGGCGAACAGCUAUAAAAACGCGUGGGCAAUCGGGAAGUAUUACAUAUUAUUGCGUGAUCAUAGACCAACGUUGGAAACAAGGAAACAAUAGAAAAGAAGCUUUAAUUCAUUCAUCGGAAGAGCAUCAGACCUACACCGGCUAUAGCAUCAACUGCACGAUUGCAUAAUUUGCGAUAUUCUUUCGCAGCAA
rnacentral:misc_RNA from 1 species